UUUUAGAAUAUGCAGAAGUUUGAUAAUAUGUAGAUUCAAUGUUAUUCAAUAUUUGUCACAGAAUUCUUGACUAAUGCGGCAAGCCAUAGGUUCUAUGACAAAUGUAUAUUUGCCUGAUGGUUUUUGACAUGCAAUCUCACGAUUUGCUGGUAAUACAUUCGGACGAGCAGCCACUGGCUUCAUACAUGUAAAUAUGGACACCUGCUAAGAUCCACGUUCAAGUCCCCGCAGCAUAGACGCAGCAUGGAGGUGCACUGUGGUGGACUUUUCUUUACCUCCAAGUUCGACUCCGGAAAUCUCAGGAGAGUCGAACAAGUGGAUCGGAGUCUGACUAGCGCGCAGAAUGAUGACAAUGAGCCUGACUAUGAGUUCAACGUGUGGACCAGACCGGACUGUGCAGGCACAGCGUACGAGAACGGA